UUUUAUUUUAGCCUCUUUUGGGAGAAAAUGGGUAUAAGUGUUGUCUAAGCACUCCUAAUCCAUCUCUAACUCUUAUAAUUAGUCGAAUGCAUUGGGUUCUAACACAUUUUGACCAUAAAACACUAAAAAAACUGUUUACUGCUCCUAAGCAAUUUUUUGUUGGUUUUAGCCUCUUUUGGGAGAAAAUGGGUAUAAGUAUUGUCUAAACACUCCUAAUCCAUCUCUAACUCUUAUAAUUAGUCAAAUGCAUUGGAUUCUUACACAUUUUGACCAUAAAAACACUAAAAAAACUGUUUAGUACUUCUAAGCAAUUUUUUGUUGGUUUUAGCCUCUUUUGGGAGAAAAUAGGUAUAAGUGUUGUCUAAACACUCCUAAUCUAUCUUUAUCUCUUAUAAUUAGUCAAAUGCAUUGGAUUGUGACACAUUUUGACCAUAGAAAUACUAACAAAGCUAUUUACUACUUCGAAGCAAUUUUUUGUUGGUUUUAGCCUCUUUUUGGACAAAAUGGGUAUAAGUGUUGUCUAAACACUCCUAAUCUAUCUUUAUGUCUUAUAAUUAGUCAAAUGCAUUGGAUUGUGACACUUUUUGACCAUGGAAACACUAACAAAGCUAUUUACUACUUCUAAGCAAUUUUUUGUUUGUUUUAGCCUCUUUUGGGACAAAAUGGGUAUAAUUGUUGUCUAAACACUCAUAAUCCAUCUUUCACUGAUAGAAUUAGUCAAAUACAUUGGAUCGUGAUACAUUUUGACCAUGGAAACACUAACAAAGCUAUUUACUGCUUCUAAGCAAUUUUUUAUUGGUUUUAGCCUCUCUUAGGAGAAAAUAGGUAUAAGUGAUGUCUAAACACUCCUAAUCCAUCUAUAACUCUUAUAAUUAGUCAAAUGCUUUGGAUUGUGAAACAUUUUGACCAUAGAAACACUAACAAAGCUAUUUACUGCUUUUAAACAAUUUUUUGUUGGUUUAAGUCUCUUUUAGGAAAAAAUGGGUAUAAGUAUUGUCUAAACACUCUUAAUCCAUCUCUAACUCUUAUAUUUAGUCAAAGGCUUUGGAUUGUGACUCCUUUUGACAAUAGGAACACUAACAAAGCUAUUUACUGCUUCAAGCAAUGUUUUGUUGGUUUUAGCCUGUUUUGGGAGAAAAUGGGUAUAAGUGUUGUCUAAACACUCCUAAUCUCUCUUUAUCUCUUAUAAUUAGUCAAAUGCAUAGGAUUGUGACACAUUUUGACCAUAGAAACACUAACAAAGCUAUUUACUACUUCUAAGAAAUUUUUUGUUGGUUUUAGCCUAUUUUGAAAAAAAAAGGGUAUAAGUGUUGUCUAAACACUCAUAAUCCAUCUGUAACUGAUAGAAUUAGUCAAAUACAUUGGAUCGUGAUAUAUUUUGACCAUGGAAACACUAACAAAGCUAUUUACUGCUUCUAAGCAAAUGUUUAUUGGUUUUAGCCUCUCUUAGGAGAAAAUAGGUAUAAGUGAUGUCUAAACACUCCUAAUCCAUCUCUAACUCUUAUAAUUAUUCAAAUGCAUUGGAUUGUGACAGAUUUUGACCAUAAAAACACUAACAAAGCUGUCUACUGGUUCAAAACAAUUUUUGUUGGUUUUAGCCUCUUUGGAGAGAAAAAGGGUAUAAGUGUUGUCUAAACACUCCUAAUCAAUCUCUAACUCUUAUAAUUAAUCAAAUGCAUUGGAUUGUGACACAUUUUGACCAUAAAAACACUAACAAAGCUGUCUACUGUUUCAAAACAAUUUUUGUUGGUUUUAGCCUCUUUUCAGAGAAAAAAGGUAUAAGUGUUGUCUAAACACUCCUAAUCCAUCUCUAACUCUUAUAAUUAGUCAAAUGCAUUGGAUUUUGACACAUUUUGACCAUAAAAACACUAACAAAACUGUUUACUGCUUCUAAGCAAUUUUUUUUUGAUUUUAGCCUCUUUUGGGAGAAAAUGGGUAUAAGUGUUGUCUAAGCACUACUAAUCCAUCUCUAACUCUUAUAAUUAGUCGAAUGCAUUGGGUUCUGACACAUUUUGACCAUAAAACACUAAAAAAACUGUUUACUGCUCCUAAGCAAUUUUUUGUUGGUUUUAGCCUCUUUUGGGAGAAAAUGGGUAUAAGUAUUGUCUAAACACUCCUAAUCCAUCUCUAACUCUUAUAAUUAGUCAAAUGCAUUGGAUUCUUACACAUUUUGACCAUAAAAACACUAAAAAAACUGUUUAGUACUUCUAAGCAAUUUUUUGUUGGUUUUAGCCUCUUUUGGGAGAAAAUAGGUAUAAGUGUUGUCUAAACACUCCUAAUCUAUCUUUAUCUCUUAUAAUUAGUCAAAUGCAUUGGAUUGUGACACAUUUUGACCAUAGAAAUACUAACAAAGCUAUUUACUACUUCGAAGCAAUUUUUUGUUGGUUUUAGCCUCUUUUUGGACAAAAUGGGUAUAAGUGUUGUCUAAACACUCCUAAUCUAUCUUUAUCUCUUAUAAUUAGUCAAAUGCAUUGGAUUGUGACACUUUUUGACCAUGGAAACACUAACAAAGCUAUUUACUACUUCUAAGCAAUUUUUUGUUUGUUUUAGCCUCUUUUGGGA
rnacentral:sRNA from 1 species